UACAGAGGUCCCAAGCGUUGUUCGGAUUCAUUGGGCGUAAAGGGUGCGUAGGCGGCGCGGUAAGUCGGAUGUGAAAUCUCGGAGCUUAACUCCGAAACUGCAUUCGAUACUGCCGUGCUUGAGGACUGGAGAGGAGACUGGAAUUCAUGGUGUAGCAGUGAAAUGCGUAGAGAUCAUGAGGAAGACCAGUGGCGAAGGCGGGUCUCUGGACAGUUCCUGACACUGAGGCACGAAGGCCAGGGGAGCAAACGGG
rnacentral:rRNA from 1 species